rnacentral:rRNA from 1 species
GACGAACGCUGGCGGCGUGCUUAACACAUGCAAGUCGAGCGGUAAGGCCCUUCGGGGUACACGAGCGGCGAACGGGUGAGUAACACGUGGGUGACCUGCCCUUAGCUCUGGGAUAAGCCUGGGAAACUGGGUCUAAUACCGGAUAUGACCUCAUGACGCAUGUUGUGGGGUGGAAAGCCUUGUGCGGCUAGGGAUGGGCCCGCGGCCUAUCAGCUUGUUGGUGGGGUGAUGGCCACCAAGGCGACGACGGGUAGCCGGCCUGAGAGGGCGACCGGCCACACUGGGACUGAGACACGGCCCAGACUCCUACGGGAGGCAGCAGUGGGGAAUCUUGCGCAAUGGCGAAAGCCUGACGCAGCGACGCCGCGUGAGGGAUGACGGCCU